AACGAACGCUGGCGGCAUGCCUAACACAUGCAAGUCGAACGAGACCUUCGGGUCUAGUGGCGCACGGGUGCGUAACGCGUGGGAACCUGCCCUUAGGUUCGGAAUAACUCCCCGAAAGGGGUGCUAAUACCGGAUAAUGUCUUCGGACCAAAGAUUUAUCGCCUUUGGAUGGGCCCGCGUUGGAUUAGCUAGUUGGUAGGGUAAAAGCCUACCAAGGCGACGAUCCAUAGCUGGUCUGAGAGGAUGAUCAGCCACACUGGGACUGAGACACGGCCCAGACUCCUACGGGAGGCAGCAGUGGGGAAUAUUGGACAAUGGGCGAAACCUGAUCCAGCAAUGCCGCGUGAGUGAUGAAGGCCUUAGGGUUGUAAAGCUCUUUUACCCGGGAUGAUAAUGACAGUACCGGGAGAAUAAGCUCCGGCUAACUCCGUG
rnacentral:rRNA from 1 species